rnacentral:rRNA from 1 species
GACGAACGCUGGCGGCGUGCCUAAUACAUGCAAGUUGAGCGAUGAAGCUUGGUGCUUGCACCAAUUUGAAGAGCAGCGAACGGGUGAGUAACGCGUGGGGAAUCUGCCUUUGAGCGGGGGACAACAUUUGGAAACGAAUGCUAAUACCGCAUAACAACUUUAAACAUAAGAUUUAAGUUUGAAAGAUGCAAUUGCAUCACUCAAAGAUGAUCCCGCGUUGUAUUAGCUAGUUGGUGAGGUAAAGGCUCACCAAGGCGAUGAUACAUAGCCGACCUGAGAGGGUGAUCGGCCACAUUGGGACUGAGACACGGCCCAAACUCCUACGGGAGGCAGCAGGAGGGAAUCUUCGGCAAUGGACGAAAGUCUGACCGAGCAACGCCGCGGGAGGGAAGAAGGGUGUCGGAUCGGAAAACUCUGUUGGUAGAGAAGAACGUUGGUGAGAGUGGAAAGCUCAUCAAGUGACGGUAACUACCCAGAAAGGGACGGCUAACUACGUG